rnacentral:tRNA from 1 species
GCCUUCGUGGUGUAACGGUAGCACGCUGUGCCCUUAUUCCAGAGGUCCGUGGUUCGAUUCCCGGCGAAGGCG